rnacentral:rRNA from 1 species
GUCCACGCCGUAAACGAUGGAUACUAGCUGUUGGGAGCAAUUUCAGUGGCUAAGCGAAAGUGAUAAGUAUCCCACCUGGGGAGUACGUUCGCAAGAAUGAAACUCAAAGGAAUUGACGGGGGCCCGCACAAGCGGUGGAGCAUGUGGUUUAAUUCGAUGAUACGCGAGGAACCUUACCAAGGCUUAAAUGUGGAUUGACCGAUUUGGAAACAGAUCUUUCGCAAGACAAUUUACAAGGUGCUGCAUGGUUGUCGU